UUACGGUCAUAUCACGUUGAAACAACGAUUCCCAAACGAUUAUUGAAGUUAAGCAACAUCAAGCCUUGUCAGUAUCGAGAUGGGUGACCGCUUGGGAAUGGCAAGUGUUGUAA